CCCAGCUGUAGGCAGCCGCCUAGGUUUCUUGUACCUAGACAAGUGUUACACUGUUGGGAGAAAGCAGCAACUAGCUGGCAGGCACUCU
ensembl:snoRNA SNORA74 Small nucleolar RNA SNORA74